rnacentral:rRNA from 1 species
GUGAGGAAUUUUCCGCAAUGGGCGAAAGCCUGACGGAGCAAUGCCGCGUGAAGGAUGAAGGCCUAUGGGUUGUAAACUUCUUUUCUCAGAAAAGAAUUAUGACGGUAUCUGAGGAAUAAGCAUCGGCUAACUCUGUGCCAGCAGCCGCGGUAAGACAGAGGAUGCAAGCGUUAUCCGGAAUGAUUGGGCGUAAAGCGUCUGUAGGUUGUUUAAAAAGUAUUCUGUCAAAGAUUAGGGCUUAACCCUAGAUAGGCAGAAUAAACUUUUAAGCUAGAGUUUGGUAGAGGCAGAGGGAAUUCCCGGUGGAGCGGUGAAAUGCGUAGAUAUCGGGAGGAACACCAAAGGCGAAGGCACUCUGCUGGGCCAAUACUAACACUGAGAGACGAAAGCGAGGGGAGCAAAUGGGAUUAGAUAACCUGGUAGUCC